AUAGAUGAAGAAAUUAAUAUUUACAUGCUAGCAAACGGCAUAUUCUUCCUUCCUGUCAUAUGUCCUUCCUGUUGCCCUCAUGCAAAGAAUUCACUGCUUGGAUCUUAAUUGGCUCCAUCUCUGACAUCUGAAACCUCUCCUUGCUAGGGAGAAAUAAUUUCAUUACUUAAAGCACAGCAGAGCUGCUGGGCUUCUCCGCAACCUAACUGAAUUAAAGUCAUGAGAAGACAAAUGCGAGGGAGUUGCUUUUAGAGGCGAGAAAACGUCGAUUUGCAAAGAGGAUUCAAGGAACAAUGGCAAAUACAAGGCUUCCGAGAAACAUUUCCUUCAUGAUGUCUGUCUUCUGCAUGAGUCACAUAACUGGGUCACACCUUCAGAUAGGGAAAUGCUUUCUGCUGCCAUGGAAUGAUCAUCUGCCCUCACCCCGCACCAGAAACAGAUUAGAAAGCAACUUCUGGAUGACAACAACCAGAUGUCUACUGGACACAAUGUGAAAAUUGCAGACCAUCUAAUUGACAACUUGCACAAAAAAUUAAAGCAAUUAGAAUUGUU